AUUGAACGCUGGCGGCAUGCUUUACACAUGCAAGUCGAACGGUAACAGGCCGCAAGGUGCUGACGAGUGGCGAACGGGUGAGUAAUGCAUCGGAACGUGCCCAGUCGUGGGGGAUAACUACUCGAAAGAGUAGCUAAUACCGCAUACGAUCUAUGGAUGAAAGCGGGGGACCGUAAGGCCUCGCGCGAUUGGAGCGGCCGAUGUCAGAUUAGGUAGUUGGUGGGGUAAAGGCUCACCAAGCCAACGAUCUGUAGCUGGUCUGAGAGGACGACCAGCCACAGGGGGAAGGAGACCCGGCCGAGACCCGGAGGGGGGCGAGAGGGGGGGAUUUUGGAACAGGGGGCGCAAGCCUGAUCCGGCAAGGCGGCGGGCAGAAAGAGGCCCUGGGGGUUAUAACCUUUUUUGGUAGGAAACAAAACGGCUUUGUUUAACCCCGGGGGAUAAGGACGGUACGGAAAGAAUAAGCACCGCCUACCUCCGU
rnacentral:rRNA from 1 species